rnacentral:rRNA from 1 species
UACGGAGGAUGCGAGCGUUAUCCGGAUUUAUGGGGUUUAAAGGGUGCGUAGGCGGACUGUCAAGUCAGCGGUAAAAUUGAGAGGCUCAACCUCUUCCCGCCGUUGAAACUGGUGGUCUUGAGUGGAUGAGAAGUACGCGGAAUGCGUGGUGUAGCGGUGAAAUGCAUAGAUAUCACGCAGAACUCCGAUUGCGAAGGCAGCGUACCGGCAUCCAACUGACGCUGAGGCACGAAAGCGUGGGGAUCAAACAGG